rnacentral:rRNA from 1 species
UACGUAGGGAGCAAGCGUUGUUCGGAUUUACUGGGCGUAAAGGGCGCGUAGGCGGCCUGUUAAGUCGAACGUGAAAUCCCCGGGCUCAACCCGGGAACUGCGUCCGAUACUGGCAGGCUUGAAUUCGGGAGAGGGAUGCGGAAUUCCAGGUGUAGCGGUGAAAUGCGUAGAUAUCUGGAGGAACACCGGUGGCGAAGGCGGCAUCCUGGACCGAGAUUGACGCUGAUGCGCGAAAGCCAGGGGAGCAAACGGG